GAUUUAUUUCCGCACAUCUUCACCGUUGAGAUUUGCAAAAUAAUGUCUGUAGAGGGAGAAAUAUUCAUCGCACAUAGACAGUGGAAUGAAGGUUUCAAUCCCUUCUCCUUCUCUCUAACGUUUGAGAACUCUAUCAGAGCAGUCAGAGGAAAAAAAUUGAGGAAUUUCAGGAAACUGCUAUAGAUGCCGCUAUUGCUGUCACAAUACACACAUGAACCCGCUUAGAAGUAAGAGAUGAGUUUAUCAAAAUAAGG
rnacentral:lncRNA from 1 species